CCGCGAGCCGGUCGGUCUGAAGGCGUCGCGCUUUCUGAAGUCUGAUGAUCAGCUGUUGGGAUUUAUAUAGCUGUGAUCAGGUGGGAAUGAAGAUGGAAGUGCUUAAUUUAAUCCAUAAAAAAUCUCCUGGGACUAACAUUGAACUAGAUGAUUUAAUGACGAUAUGACACGUCAACGCUUUCGCCAUUUUUACCCCCUGAAGGAAAGUUCUUGGAUAACAGAGCGAGACCGGAAUAUGCAUGCAUUGAAUAAUUCCUCCCUUCCGCGCCGCACUUUUCUGUAAACGCUACAAGACGCCAACCAAGAGAUCAGCCGCCGGCUGUGGCCCCAGGCUCCCCAGGAAGUGCAGCAGAGAAAAGACUCCAUUGUUGGGAUGGCUGAGUUCCUUUACUAUCUUCCUAACCUUGAUCCAGCACCGAUUGCUGUAGAUGGACAACAGGUCAGGGAGCUCAGCUGAUCACACCCCCCCUUCCUCCGAAGAGCUUGUCUGGUGCUAAUCCCAAACCAGGCUGUGAUGCUGGUGCUUCCUGUCAGGAUGCUCUCGAUGGUGCAGGUCUAGAAGGUCCUUAUCAACCGAGACGGUAGUUUAAUGUCUGUUAAAAGUCUAAGCUGAUAGAGACAGUGCCGGGCCUUCACCACAGUGUUGAUGUGACAGGACAAUGACAUGUCCUGCAUGAUAUGAACUAGGUUCUGAAACUGUCCAAGUUCUAUCAUAAGUGCUUGUUAGUUCCUCACCUGCUUUGUGCUGAUGUCCACUAUUAACUCAUUUGGCUCGCUGAUGUUAAGGAGGAGAUCGUCGUCCUGGCAUCAUAUCUCCAGGUUUUUAAUCUACUCUUGGUUGGCCGUCUCAUCGUUUUCAGAGAUCAGGUCCACCGUACCAGUGGCGUCUCUGUACUGUAUAUAGGCAUGUUGCAGAUUCAUAAGUUCAUCAACAGUAGCAAGAGACGAUGCAACAAUUUAUUAUUUAUGUUUUUAUAAAUGAAAUAUGACAAAUUAACACAGACAAGUUAACAAUAUGACAUGGCACAUUGAUCCUAUGAGUUCUACCAUUUCUUAACUUCCCUUCUUACAACCUUAGCACCAUUUUGUCAUGGAAAAAUAGAAAAAAAAAGCAAUCUUUUGUUUCGAUCCUUUGUUUACAAUCUUUCAGUUUUUUC